rnacentral:rRNA from 1 species
UACAGAGGGUGCGAGCGUUAAUCGGAAUUACUGGGCGUAAAGGGCGCGUAGGCGGCUAUAUAAGUUAGGUGUGAAAUUCUUGGGCUUAACCUGAGGACUGCAUUUAAGACUGUAUGGCUAGAGUAGAGUAGAGGAGAGUGGAAUUUCCGGUGUAGCGGUGAAAUGCGUAGAUAUCGGAAAGAACAUCAGUGGCGAAGGCGACUCUCUGGACUCACACUGACGCUGAGGCACGAAAGCGUGGGGAGCAAACAGG